GAAUUGCGAUAUCUAGUGUGAAUUGCAGAAUGCCGCGAAUCAUUGAACUUUUGAACGCAUUGCGCCUGCCGGCUUUUUAAGUCUGGCAGGCACACCCGUAUGAGUGUCGGUUUAUUACCAUCUCCAAAACCAACUACUUGGUGGCGGAGGACCUGGGAGUAGAGUGCGCUCUUCUCUUGAAUUGCAUUGUGCUACAGUUCAGCAGUGACGCUGAAGCAGGCAGAAGUUGGGCUUUCUAGCUAUCUGCAAGCUUUGUGUUCGGUGCAAGUCCGUCAGUACCAACGGAUUAGUGGCAACCGCCAGCAAUGGUGGCACCACUUUCUUCAACUCUUCGACCUCAUAUCGGGUGAGAAUACCCGCUGGAUUUAA
rnacentral:misc_RNA from 1 species